AUAGUGUGAAGGCAAAGAGAGGGAGAGCUUGGGAAUGAUCAGGCCGUACAAGGCCGUACCGGCCGUACCAUCCGUACGGUCCGGAUCAAUCCAACACUCGACCAAGAAGAGGAGUUACCGCGUGAAAGGAGUAAACGGCCAAAGGGAUUUACCUUAAGGGAGAUGACCGUUUGGAUGGAUAGAGUGACUAAGCCUUAUCCACACAGGCUGGAACAGGCUGUAAAGGCAAAAGGAACCUAGUCCAAGAUGCCAAAAACGUGUGACAGCUUCCAUUGGAUCAAGUUUGAAUUAAAGCAACCUUAUCCUUGACCUCACAUGCUUAGUCUCUCUAAAACCCUUGUAUCUGAUCCUAUAUAUUGUAAACUCUGUCUUGAUUAAUAAACAACACGAUUCCAUGAGUCUCUCUCUCUAGUUCAUCAUGAUAAUCUCAUACAUUUUCUCUUAAACACUCUUAACUCUCUCUUAAACUUCUCAAUACCUUUCCUAUUCUCUAAAAUCACAUGG
rnacentral:lncRNA from 1 species